GUAUUUGCACCAUAAUUUUCAAUAUAUAGUAAUUUUAUUGCAAAAUACAUCGUAACAUGAAUAUUACAUGGAGAAAUAAUUCACACAAAUUUCGAGUUAACAAUUCGACGAUAGGAAAAAAUUGGGAGGACAAAAUUGCAAAAAUUAAAAAGAUGGGUGAUUUACUUCGCCACACUUCCAAAGUCACGUUAAAAAAAAAUAAAAAAAAUGAACCCCCUGAAUCGAAAGUCUGGCUCCCCC
rnacentral:lncRNA from 1 species